UAUGCUCCAAAUUAGUAAGUUAAGUCAGAUAAUGCUUCGUACUCGAUUCCGGCAAUGGUCUCGGGUAAGGGGUGUUACACAUUAAAUCAGUUAUAGUUUGUUUGAUGGUAUUUGCUACUUGGAUAAUCAUAGUAAUUCUAGAGCUAAUAUGUGCAAAAAAACUCUGACUACUGAAAGGGAUGCAUUUAUUAGAUAAAAGGUCAACGCAAGCUUUGCCCAUUGCUUUGAUGAUUCUUGAUAACUUGACAGAUCAUACGGCCUUAGUGCUAGUGAUGCAUCAUUCAAAUUUCUACCCUAUUAACUUUCGGUGGUAGGAUAGUGGCCUACUAAGGUGGUGACGGGUGACAGAGAAUUAGGGUUUGACUUUGGAGAGGGAGCUUAAGAAACGACUACCACAUCCAAGGAAGGCAGCAUGCACACAAAUUACGCAAUCCUGACAUGGGGAGGUAGUGACAAUAAAUAACAAUACAGGGCUCUAUCUGUCUGAUAAUUGGAAUGAGUACAAUCUAAAUCCCUCAACGAGAAUCCGUUAGAAGGCAAGUCUGGUGCCAACAGCCGCGGUAAUUCUAGCUCCAAUAGCGUAUAUUUAAGUUGUUACAGUUAAAAAGCUCGUAGUUGGACUUAGGGGUGGGUCGAUCGGUACACCUCACGGUUUGUAACAGCCUGUGUUCAGUGAAAUUGGAAUAAUGGUUUUGGGACCACAAAUUUGAGGUCAAAAAAUUUAUUAUUAUUUUAUUUCCUACAGUAUGAUAGAAGUACUAUACAAAAAAUUUGUUAAGAAAUUUUACCGUUUACAUGUUCAAUUUGAUAAAAAGGACUAAAUCCGUAAAGUGCAAAAGUUGAGUUCUAAUUGCUAAAGGUAUUAAAUAGCUAUAGAACUUUAAAGUGGAAGUUCUUAUAUGGUAAUUAGACCAUUAGAAGUGAUAGUGGAUGAGCAUGGUUUGGCAUUUGUGUAAAUUUGAUUAAUUUUUAAGGUUAAUUAAGUAAUUUGUAAAAUAAUGAUAAUAUUAAUCAAAUAAAACUAAAAUCAUCAUCCUUAUUCAUCAUCAUCAACCGAUUUUAGAAGAGAAAAAUAAGCCAUUGUUGAGCUAGGGCUCGACCACUUGGAUUGCUUGAUUAGAUCCAGUUAGACCUCGUACGAAGUUAGAUCAAGAAAAAGAGAAAGUCUUAGAUUAAUCACCUUCGUAUCUACGAUUACUUGUCGAGGUAAGUUCAUGUAAUUAAAUUGUGUUUAUAUGCUUUUAAUUGAAUUAUAUAAAUGUUAUGAGUUGUCAUAUAUAAUUGUCGAGUGCAUAUCUAACGAUGUACGACGAUUACUAAGUCCCGUGUGAACUUUAAGAAUCCAUAAGAUACAAAUGACAUGUCACUAGGGUUACCGAUUUAUAGUUUGUGAGAGCAUAUCGAUCUUCAGGUCAAAUGAGCAUAUCGAUUCAUAGAUCGUAUAAGCAUACAUGUACAUGAAUUGACGAAUUGUAGUUAUAUGAGCGAGCAUGUUAUGUAUGAGCUAUCCCGGGUAUCCAACAGUACUCUAAAUGGUUCAACGGGCAAUGUUCUGUUACAAAAUGAUAUGAGUUUGAUACGAACUGGUACAGGUAUACACAUGAAAUGCAUAGAAACGAUGUUAUUGAUAUAUAGAUAUAAGAAAUGGAUGAUACAUGUAUAUGGAACUCUAUUAAUUGUUGAGCUCAUCCAGGAUUAUUGGUUCAUAAAUGUAUUUACAUGACUAAUAUUGUUGGUGUAUAUGUGCUUAGGCAUUUGGCCAAAAUAUGUUGGGAUAUGUUUUAUUACUUACCUAUUACUUGAUCAAAUGGUAAGUUAAAUCAUAUGUUAACGAACUUACUAAGCUCAAAUGCUUACUCUAUGUUAUUUUCCUUGUUUUAUAGUGAGUUAGAAGUUCGUCUGGGUUGAAAGCUUGUCGGAGCUAUAUCACCCUAUCCAUCGACUCUUUUGGUACUUUUGGUUGUUAAAUUUUGGUUAUAAUGGCAUAUAUAGGAAUUUUGGCUAAUGUUGGCUUAUAUGUUUAGUUGUUGGAAUGAUCAUUUGUUUGGCUUGUGUUUUGGUAUUUUGAUUAUGGUAUUGGUUUGGUUUUGGCAUGCAAAUAUUAGAUUUAAUAUGGUUUAUGGUUUGGUUAAUGUGGUUGAAAUAUAGAAGAUGAAAUGAUGAUGAUUAUGCAUAAUUUAUAUAACUUGUAACUUGAUGAGAAUUGGUACUUUGUUUGAAUAGCUUAAAUGACUAUUGAUGCUAAUAUUAGAAUGGCAUUUUGGUACCAAAUGGUUGUGUUUUGGUAAGUAAAUUAUUUGGUAUAUAUUGGUGCAAAUAUGCAUAUAAGUUAGUUGAUUUUUUGGUCAAAUUGAAUACAUGGUUAGGUAUGCUUAUAUAUUGUCAUUUGAGGUCCCUAAGGGCAUAUUGGUUGUAUGAUAUUAUACCAUACGUAUAAGACUUGUUUAUUCUUGAUUUGGAUGCCUUGUAAUGGCUUGCAAGUAUGUAUGUAGGUACAUAUCAAUUUGGGUGAGAAAAAUGGCUUGUAAAAUGGCCUAUUUUUGUCCACACGGGUAGAGACACGGGCGUGCGUCUCAACCGUGUGUGACACACGACCGUGUGUCUCCUGUAGCUUUAAAAGGGUUGCUAGUUAGGUUGUUACAUGGCCUAGCACACGGCCUGGCACACAGGCGAGUGGCUUGGCCGUGUGACCCAAGUCAGCGAGUGAUGUGGGCAUGGACACGGCCGUGUGUCCCUACUUCGAAUGCCCACACGGCCUGGCCACACAGCCGUGUGACUCCUACAGUGUUAAAAAUUUCAAUGUUUUCUGAAAAUUUCUCUAAGUUUCUGGUUUAGUCCCGACUUAUUUCUAAUGUGUAUUUUGGGCCUCGAGGACUCGUAUAAGGGACAAUUUGCAUGUUUUGAAUUGGUUUUAAUAUGUUUAAUGAUAUGUUAUGAAAUGUUUGAAUUUUCUAUUCUUUUGAAUUGUAAACUCCAGUAAUGUAUCGUAACCUUGUACCGGCGACGGAUACAGGUCAGAGGUGUUACACGGUUAGCACUAGUCUGCUCGUUCUUACUGCCGACAAUGCAUUCCUGGCCUCAAUUGGCCGGGUCGUUCCUCCAGCACUGUUACUUUAAAGAAAUUAAUGUGCUCAAAAUAGGCCUACGCUUGUAUACAUUAGCAUGGGAUAACAUGAUAGGAUUUUGAUCCUAUUAUCUUGGCCUUCGAGAUCGGAGUAAUGAUUAAUAGAGACAGUCGGGGACAGUCAUAUUUCAUAGUCAGAGGUGAAAGUCUUGGAUUUAUGAAAGAUGAACAACUACAAAAGCAUUUGCCAAGGAUGUUUCCAUUAAUCAAGAAUGAAAGUUGGGGGCUCGAAGAUGAUCUGAUACCGUCCUAGUGUCAACCAUAAACGAUGCCGACCAGGGAUUGACGGAUGUUGCUUUUAGGACUCCGUCGACACCUUAUGAGAAAUCAGAGUCUUUGGGUUUUGGGGGGAGUAUUGUUGCAAUGAUGAAACUUAAAGGAAUUGACGUAAGGGCACCACCAGAAGUGGAGCUUACGGCUUAACUUGACUCAACAUAGGAAAAUUUACCAAGUCCAGACAUAGUAGGGACAGACUGUGAGCUCUUUCUUGAUUCUAUAGAUGGUGGUGCAUGGCCAUUCUUAGUUGGUGGAGCAAUUUGUCUAGUUAAUUCCGUUAACGAAUGAGACCCCAGUCUACUAACUAGGUACACGCAGGUAAUCCUACGUAGCUAGCUUCUUAGAAGGACUAUGGCCUUUUAAGCCAUGGAAGUUUAAGGCAAUAACAGGUAUGUGAUGCCCUUAAAUGUUCUAUGCUGCACGUGCACUACAAUAAUGUCUUCAAAGAGUCUAUAGCCUUGGUCGAUAGGCUCGAGUAAUCUUUGAAAUUUCAUCGUCAUGGGGAUAGAUCAUUGCAAUUGUUGGUUUUCAAUAAGGAAUUCCUAGUAAGCACGAGUUAUCAUCUCGCGCUGACUAAGUGCCUACCCUUUGAACACACCGCCUGUCGCUUCUACCGAUUGAAUGGUCCAGUAAAGUGUUUGCAUCAUGACGACGUGGGUUGUUCGAUGCCUGCAUCAUCGCGAGAAGUCCACUUAACCAUAUCAUUUAAAGGAAUUGGAAGUCAGGAUGUGUCCUUGCCCCUUGCCACCCCCGCGUCUCAGAUUUAUC
rfam:Gossypium raimondii Chr05_contig_791, whole genome shotgun sequence.